CGAGGGUCUGAAUACUUAAGUAAAUGUGAUUUUUCAGUUGAUUUGAAGAAAUUAGCAAAAAUAUGUAACGCUUUUGCUUUGUCGUAAUGGGGUAUUGUCGAUUUGAGUAUUUUAAAUGUAUUUUGAAUCAUUUUAAGUAUAAGGCUAACGUAACACAAUGCAGAAAAAGUGUAAAGGAAUGUUGUUACACCAUGUAGGAGCAGUAUAGACCAAGUCUGUUCCUUAUAUACAUCUACAUGAUGUAUUGUUACACCAUGUUGGAGCAGUAUAGACCUAGUCUGUUCAUUAUAUACAUCUACAUGAUGUAUUGUUACACCAUGUAGGAGCAGUAUAGACCUACAGUAGCUGGCUACUUAUUUAGAUUUAGAAUGACUUAAAUGAAACUGCCUUAAAUGUGCUGUAGUAAACAUUUUUUAUUCGCACUAAUCAAUCAACACAUUCAGGUAUUUGUAUGUCUCAAUAUAAUAGCAGUAUUUAAUUCAAUCAUUUUAAAAUAAUCUUUGUCUGAAAAUAAAAUAUGAUCCUCAACUGCGUUUCCCCUCCAGUCAGCAGACGGCGAUGUGCGUCUUUCAGGCGACGCUGCGUGCGUGACGUAUAAUCUAGUGGACGGUUCUUGAGAAACAGCUCGUCUACCACCUCGGUAGCUUGCUAGUCAACAGCCGAAAGAUUCAAGCUAUUAAAACGCUUUCGGUGUAUAUUACCUACUGUGUUUUAGACACAUUUCUGUCGUAUCUACUUGUUAACCUAUUUGAUAUUACGUUGUUUUGUAUUAGUCAGCUAUAGUAGUUGGCUGGUUAAGUUAGCACUAGCCUAGUCGCUAAUGAUAGCUAGCUAGCUAACAUCCCUGAACAUGAGCUCCCUAAACUACUCCCCUCUUGUUAAAGAAGAGGCGGUCGGCUGGACGGAGAAAGAAGCUCAGGGGCUGAACAUUGUCGUGAAGGAGGAGAAGGAAGAGGAGGAUGUCACAGUAAAACAAGAAGUAGAGGGUGAGGCUGUUACAGUGAAAGAAGAAGAGAAAGACGUUUCAGUGAAAGAAGAGGAAGACGCGUUCAGAGUGAAAGAGGAGGAGGAUGUUACAGUAAAAGAAGAGCAGGAUGCAGUUUAUGGAGAGAGAGACGGAACUAGCGUGGAUCCUCUGAGGAGCCUCAACAACAUCAUGAUGCUGACUAGGCAGAGAAGAGUCUUUCCAGAUCAGAUCAACUCAAGAAACAACAGCAGAUAUCCACAGGGACUGUGGGGAAAAAAUCAACUCUUCAUCAGACCUUAAAAUACAUCAAAGAAUUCCCACUGGAGAGAAACCUUAUGGCUUUGAUCAAUGUGGGAAGAGUUUUACUGAGUCAAACUUUCUCGCUAUACAUCAGAGAAUACACAAAGGAGAGAAACCAUAUAGUUGUGAUCAAUGUGGAAAGGAUUUCGGUACAUCUGGCUGUCUGACAAAACAGAGAACACACACAGGAGAGAAACAUUUUUAUCUGUGAUCAAUGUGGGAAGAGUUUUACUACAUCUAGCUAUGUAACUAUACACCAGAGAACACACACAGGAGAGAAAUCAUAUAACUGUAAUCAAUGUGGGAAGAGUUUUGCUUCAUCUGGCCUUCUGACUGUACACUAGAUAAUACACACAGGAGAGAAAUCGUAUUGCUGUGAUCAAUGUGGGAAGAGAUACUCUGAUAAAAUAUCCCUGAUUAAACAUCAGAAAAUACAUACAUGAAGGAGUUGUUUCAUGAUAUCAAUGAAAUAAUGUCACAAUGUAGAAUGUUUUAACAUUGUAGUAGCAGUAUUUGAAUGAAUGUCAGAAUGUUGAACCCUAAACGUUUGUCCCCUGUUCAGUUGAUAUUAGCCUCAGCGGAAAAAUCCAGGCUCUGAAUUGAAAGAGUACUAUUUAUGUGAUUUAACAAAAAGUGACAAAAAAAAUUAUGUUACACUUACCACGUUGGUGACCCACUUGAAUUAAAACGCAACACUUCAACAUGUUUAGGUUUUCAAUAUAUCGCAAACUUUUUCUGCAUUUUGGUUAUUGAUUUGGACACGUUAAAACUGUGUUUUGACAUUGCACUAUUCCCAUUUAGCAAAAUGUAAUUCCAAAGAUGUUGAAAAUAAGACUAUGCCCGACGUCCAAUAUAUGUUCGGUUGAAGCUGAAAGUGAAAGUUGAAAAUAUGUAUUUUCGGGUUGUUUUUUCAAUUACUUGAAAACAACUUAAUUUCAAGGUACUUACAGCCUAUACACCUUGUCGCAGUAUAAUGAAUUUAGUCUAUAAUCAAUUUUAUUAACAAUCCAACAUCACUCCAGUAUUUCUUUACAUCAUUCAAAUGCUAAUUGUCUUUAUUCCAUUACUGAAGAAGCAUGACUCAAAUCACCUCAUAUUUCAAACAUCCAGCCUUACAAAAGAUACAUGUUUUAUUAUUCCAUGCCUCAGCAUUCAGGUAAUUAUUGCCAAUACGUAUUAACAAAGGGGUGUGUGCAUUUGGUUUUGAUAUUUCAUAUUUACAAUUAUGUAACAUUUAGUAAUAAUUAUUUAUGCAACCAACUGACAAUUCUUGUGUACAAUUAUAUUGACAUUGUUGCCCUGCUUUUAGAAUAUCAGGGUUCAUUCUCAGAUGUGCCAACUCAAAUGUACUAGAGCACGACACUGGGGACUGGGCCCCGAUCCAACAACAUGCCUAUCGAGUGAACCCUGAAAAGAGAGAGAAGCUCCGCAGUGGUGGAAAGUUACUACUGAUAUCGCAGGAGUUUCCUCUGGAUAUCAGACAUGUCUUUGGUAAGGACAACUUGGUUGCUGAUGGUCUCAAUUGUCUUGGCAGUCAAAAAUAUUUGUGUUUUGAAUUUACCCCGUGUGUUAUCAUGGGUCACAAUUUAUUUUGACACGUUUUUCCGUGUUGGAGAUGAGUUUUUUAUUUUAUUUGAUUAUUUUCUGUAUUUUUAAAAAACUGCACUGUUGGUUAGAGGCUCGCAAGUCAGCAUUUCACUGUUAGGUCUACACCUGUUGUAUUCAGCAUUUCACUGUUAGGUCUACCUGUUGUAUUCGGCGCAUGUGACUAAUACAAUUUGAUUUGAGUUUUGUUCGUUCCAAGGGGACGAGAGUUCUAGAAGCUAGUGAGUUUUAGGAUUCUAUAAAAAAUAAAAUAAUAUGAUUGUAUAUUAUUAUUUAGAAAUACGUGUUUUUUCUUGUUUUUAAUUGUUGACAGCAAGUUGUUUUCUGUUCGUGGUAAGAACUUGUCCAACAAAAGGAGACUUUAAUAUAGAUUUAGGGGUAGGCGGUGAUAGCAGUG
ensembl:lncRNA